rnacentral:rRNA from 1 species
AGAGUUUGAUCCUGGCUCAGGAUGAACGCUAGCGGCAGGCUUAACACAUGCAAGUCGAGGGGCAGCAUAGUAUGUAGCAAUACAUAUUGAUGGCGACCGGCGGAUGGGUGCGUAACGCGUAUGCAACCUACCUUUUACAGGAGGAUAACCUUUCGAAAGGGAGACUAAUACUCCAUAGUAUUAUUUAGAGGCAUCUUUAGAUAAUUAAAUAUUUAUAGGUAAAAGCUGGGCAUGCGUAUGAUUAGUUAGUUGGUAAGGUAACGGCUUACCAAGGCGAUGAUCAUUAGGGGUUCUGAGAGGAAGGUCCCCCACACUGGUACUGAGACACGGACCAGACUCCUACGGGAGGCAGCAGUGAGGAAUAUUGGUCAAUGGGCGGAAGCCUGAACCAGCCAUGCCGCGUGCAGGAUGACGGCCUUAUGGGUUGUAAACUGCUUUUAUGUGAGGAUAAUAUUCAUCUUGCGAGGUGGAAUGAAGGUAUCACAUGAAUAAGGAUCGGCUAACUCCGUGCCAGCAGCCGCGGUAAUACGGAGGAUCCGAGCGUUAUCCGGAUUUAUUGGGUUUAAAGGGUGCGUAGGCUGACUAUUAAGUCAGCGGUGAAAAGCUUGGGCUUAACUCAGGUCUUGCCGUUGAUACUGAUAGACUAGAAUAUAUAUGGAGUAGGCGGAAUGAAUCAUGUAGAGGUGACAUUCAUAGAUAUGAUUCAGAACACCGAUCGCGAAGGCAGCUUACUAAGAUAUAAUUGACGCUGAUGCACGAAAGCGUGGGUAUCGAACAGGAUUAGAUACCCUGGUAGUCCACGCUGUAAACGAUGAUAACUCGUUGUCGGCGAUAGACAGUCGGUGACCAAGCGAAAGCGAUAAGUUAUCCACCUGGGGAGUACGAUCGCAAGGUUGAAACUCAAAGGAAUUGACGGGGGCCCGCAC